UACACAAACACACAAUUUAUGUUUUCAAUAUUACAAAAAAUCCAACCCCCUAAACACAUUCCACAAGAGUUGGUAUUUAUGUUUUUUAUACAUGUAAAAAAGUUCAUCUUGAGAUGCCAUAAACUACAAACAACCUAUGUGAAUGAGGCUGCCACUUGUUUUCAGCCCACAAGGUUGGGCCAGGCCCAAUGGGCCUUAUACAUGAACUUGGCCCAUUAUCAAUCUAAAUCCAAAUGACAAAGUCUAAUAGAAACCACAAAUCAUUCAAUUGAAAACUUUACAUUUUUAUCACUAAAUUCCCAAACCAAGAAAAAAGAAGUAAUACACAACUCAAUUACAAAAACAUAUUGCAUACAUGCAUAUUAAAAAAUACACGACUUAACAAAGUAGCAACGUAUCAUUACUGAUUUAAAAUCUUUUUAAGUAUACAAUUAUUCAAUCGCAAAUAGGGCAAUGAAUCAAACCAUUCUCAUUACAUUGAGGACAUCUCUCCUUAGCAUCUCCAUUCACCACUUUGCAACUCCCUCCACAAUCAAAACAUGGCACAAACCUAGCACCCCCACAACCCUCACACCCUAACCUCCCUGGACCCCUCUCCACUCUGGCAUAAUUCAAUAUCCUCCCGAGUCGCUUUGUCUCGUUCAGAUUCACCACUUCCUCCACACCACCAAUGUACCUCCCCUUCACGAACAACCUUGGGACACUCGCGUCCUCUCCCUCUCCGAGCAACUCCUUCAGCUCCUGACGAAACUCGCCAUGCAGCGACACAUCACGCUCGUCGAAAACCACCCUAUGAGAUUCCAAAAUUAACCUCACUUUGUUACAAUCCUCGAACGUGCGACGCACGCCACCUAGCGACGUCGUGUAGACAACCAAUGAGUCAUCGCCACGUGGCGGACACUUUUCGGGGUAGUCAUGUAAAGGAUUAAACUUAAUAAACAUUGGAACUUUCCCUUCUUUUUCCCUCUCCAUUUUGUCCCUCAACAAAAAUAUAUUCUCUUUCACUGGCUUGUACCCUUGUUGAGAUUGUGCCACAUCCCCAUUAUGAACCACAAUUUGUGACUCAUUUUUUUUCACUGUUUUAUUACUAAACUUUUGAAAUCUUUUAUUUUCCUCAUCAGUAAACUGCAUCAUGGACUCUUUUUUCUUGACUUCAUUUGGUUUUUUUGAAUCUUUAGAUGACAAUUUGUAUUCAAGUUCUUCAAGGGUAUGAAAGGAAAAACUCUUUCUUGGAAUUUUCCUUUUUGGGGAGGCGCCGCCUUCUUCCUCCUCCACGGAGGGAGGAGGAGGCAGCGCCGGUAGGGCAAGGAGGGUUUUUUUAGGUGAUUUUUGAGGUGGUGGAUUUUGUGAAGUAGGUUUUAAAUCUUCUAAGGCUUUGCUAACUUCAUCCCAAGAUUUAGGAGCAUCAUCAAUAGAUGAGUUGAGUUUUUCAAGAAUUGGUUGUGCUACUUUUGUUGGCUUCUCAUUUUCCUCUGGCUCGUCUUGAUCCAACUCACCUUCUUCC
rnacentral:lncRNA from 1 species